AAUGGAUUGAGAGCUUGCUCUCAAGAAGUUAGCGGCGGACGGGUGAGUAACACGUGGGUAACCUGCCCAUAAGACUGGGAUAACUCCGGGAAACCGGGGCUAAUACCGGAUAACAUUUUGAACUGCAUGGUUCGAAAUUGAAAGGCGGCUUCGGCUGUCACUUAUGGAUGGACCCGCGUCGCAUUAGCUAGUUGGUGAGGUAACGGCUCACCAAGGCAACGAUGCGUAGCCGACCUGAGAGGGUGAUCGGCCACACUGGGACUGAGACACGGCCCAGACUCCUACGGGAGGCAGCAGUAGGGAAUCUUCCGCAAUGGACGAAAGUCUGACGGAGCAACGCCGCGUGAGUGAUGAAGGCUUUCGGGUCGUAAAACUCUGUUGUUAGGGAAGAACAAGUGCUAGUUGAAUAAGCUGGCACCUUGACGGUACCUAACCAGAAAGCCACGGCUAACUACGUGCCAGCAGCCGCGGUAAUACGUAGGUGGCAAGCGUUAUCCGGAAUUAUUGGGCGUAAAGCGCGCGCAGGUGGUUUCUUAAGUCUGAUGUGAAAGCCCACGGCUCAACCGUGGAGGGUCAUUGGAAACUGGGAGACUUGAGUGCAGAAGAGGAAAGUGGAAUUCCAUGUGUAGCGGUGAAAUGCGUAGAGAUAUGGAGGAACACCAGUGGCGAAGGCGACUUUCUGGUCUGUAACUGACACUG
rnacentral:rRNA from 1 species